UAACGCGUGGGAAUCUGCCCUGGAGUGAGGGAUAACCGAGGGAAACCUCGGCUAAUACCGCAUACGCCCUUUGGUCGUGGAGAUCAUUGGGGAAAGAUUUAUCGCUCUAGGAGGGGCCCGCGUCGGAUUAGCUAGUUGGUGAGGUAACGGCUCACCAAGGCGAUGAUCCGUAGCUGGUCUGAGAGGAUGAUCAGCCACACUGGGACUGAGACACGGCCCAGACUCCUACGGGAGGCAGCAGUGGGGAAUAUUGGACAAUGGGGGCAACCCUGAUCCAGCAAUGCCGCGUGAGUGAUGAAGGCCUUAGGGUUGU
rnacentral:rRNA from 1 species